GAACGAACGCUUGCGGCGCGCCUAAUACAUGCAAGUCGAACGAGGUAGCAAUACCAAGUGGCGCACGGGUGAGUAACGCGUGGAUAAUCUGCCUAUCAGUGGGGAAUAACUAACCGAAAGGUUAGCUAAUACCGCAUGAGGCCACAGGACCUGCGGGUCUAGGGGUUAAAGAUUUAUCGCUGAUAGAUGAGUCUGCGUGGGAUUAGCUAGGUUGGUGGGUAACCGCCU
rnacentral:rRNA from 1 species